UCGUGACCCUGACCAAAACAGACCGUGAACGUGUCAUCUUGCCUGCCAGCGGCGGCCUUGNCCGUUGCUUGGCCAAAGUCCUCGAUAACCUCCUCUCCUCGGAGCGGGGGCUCGGGGUAAAAGAACCCACGGCGCCGAAGGCGUCAAGGAACACUGUGCCUAACCCGGGGAAGCGGCUGGCUUGCUAGCUGCCCCUCGUGUUGCAAUGCUAUUUAAUCCACACGACUCUCGGCAACNGGAUAUCUCGGCUCUCGCAUCGAUGAAGNAACGUAGCGAAAUGCGAUACCUGGUGUGNAAUUGCAGAAUCCCGCGAACCAUCGAGUCUUUGAACGCAAGUUGCGCCCGAGGCCACAUGGCCGAGGGCACGCCUGCCUGGGCGUCACGCCAAACACGCUCCCACCCCUCAUCGGGUGGUGGGAUGCGGCAUGUGGCUCCCCGUCUUGCAAGGGGCGGUGGGCCGAAGAUGCGGCUGCCGGCGUAUCGUGCCGGACACAGCGCGUGGUGGGCGAACUCGCUUUACUUACCGCAGUGCAUCCGGCCCAUAGCCGACGUGAUGGCCUUAAGGACCCCAUGAACGGAGCGCAUGACGCUCCGACCGCGACCCCAGGU
rnacentral:rRNA from 1 species